GAUGGGGUUAGCUAACGCGAAGCUCUUGAUCGAAGCCCCGGUAAACGGCGGCCGUAACUAUAACGGUCCUAAGGUAGCGAAAUUCCUUGUCGGGUAAGUUCCGACCUGCACGAAUGGCGUAACGAUGGCGGCGCUGUCUCCACCCGAGACUCAGUGAAAUUGAAAUCGCUGUGAAGAUGCAGUGUAUCCGCGGCUAGACGGAAAGACCCCGUGAACCUUUACUAUAGCUUUGCACUGGACUUUGAAUUUGCUUGUGUAGGAUAGGUGGGAGGCUUUGAAGCGUGAACGCCAGUUUGCGUGGAGCCAUCCUUGAAAUACCACCCUGGCAACUUUGAGGUUCUAACUCAGGUCCGUUAUCCGGAUCGAGGACAGUGUAUGGUGGGUAGUUUGACUGGGGCGGUCUCCUCCUAAAGAGUAACGGAGGAGUACGAAGGUGCGCUCAGACCGGUCGGAAAUCGGUCGUAGAGUAUAAAGGCAAAAGCGCGCUUGACUGCGAGACAGACACGUCGAGCAGGUACGAAAGUAGGUCUUAGUGAUCCGGUGGUUCUGUAUGGAAGGGCCAUCGCUCAACGGAUAAAAGGUACUCCGGGGAUAACAGGCUGAUACCGCCCAAGAGUUCAUAUCGACGGCGGUGUUUGGCACCUCGAUGUCGGCUCAUCACAUCCUGGGGCUGAAGCCGGUCCCAAGGGUAUGGCUGUUCGCCAUUUAAAGUGGUACGCGAGCUGGGUUUAGAACGUCGUGAGACAGUUCGGUCCCUAUCUGCCGUGGACGUUUGAGAUUUGAGAGGGGCUGCUCCUAGUACGAGAGGACCGGAGUGGACGAACCUCUGGUGUUCCGGUUGUCACGCCAGUGGCAUUGCCGGGUAGCUAUGUUCGGAAAAGAUAACCGCUGAAAGCAUCUAAGCGGGAAACUUGCCUCAAGAUGAGAUCUCACUGGGAUCUUGAAUCCCCUAAAGGGCCGUCGAAGACUACGACGUUGAUAGGUUGGGUGUGUAAGCGCUGUGAGGCGUUGAGCUAACCAAUACUAAUUGCCCGUGAGGCUUGACCAU
rnacentral:rRNA from 1 species